rnacentral:rRNA from 1 species
GUGUCAGCCGCCGCGGUAAUACGUACUGGGCGAACGUUAUUCGGAAUCACUGGGCUUAAAGGGUGCGUAGGCGGCUUUCCAGGUCCGGUGUGAAAUCUUACGGCUCAACCGUAAAAUUGCGCUGGAAACCGGAAGGCUUGAGUGGGCUAGGGGUGUGUGGAACUUCCAGUGGAGCGGUGAAAUGUGUUGAUAUUGGAAGGAACGCCGGUGGCGAAAGCGACACACUGGGGCCUAACUGACGCUGAGGCACGAAAGCUAGGGUAGCGAACGGGAUUAGAUACCCGGGUAGUCC